UACAGAGGGGGCAAGCGUUGUUCGGAAUUACUGGGCGUAAAGGGCGCGUAGGCGGCCUUCUAAGUCGAACGUGAAAUCCCUGGGCUCAACCCAGGAACUGCGUCCGAUACUGGAAGGCUUGAAUCCGGGAGAGGGAUGCGGAAUUCCUGGUGUAGCGGUGAAAUGCGCAGAUAUCAGGAGGAACACCGGUGGCGAAGGCGGGACUCUGGGCCGAUACUGACGCUGAGGAGCGAAAGCGUGGGGAGCAAACAGG
rnacentral:rRNA from 1 species